rnacentral:rRNA from 1 species
UACGUAGGGUGCAAGCGUUAAUCGGAAUUACUGGGCGUAAAGCGUGCGCAGGCGGUGAUGUAAGACAGAUGUGAAAUCCCCGGGCUCAACCUGGGAACUGCAUUUGUGACUGCAUCGCUGGAGUGCGGCAGAGGGGGGAUGGAAUUCCGCGUGUAGCAGUGAAAUGCGUAGAUAUGCGGAGGAACACCGAUGGCGAAGGCAAUCCCCUGGGCCUGCACUGACGCUCAUGCACGAAAGCGUGGG